rnacentral:lncRNA from 1 species
UGUGUGUGUGUGUGUGUGUGUGUGUGUGUGUGUGUGUGUGUGUGUGUGUUUUCAAACUGCCUGCCCAAACCUUCCAGUAUUUUCCAUGGACUUACUGCAGAAAAUAACGCCAGCCUCCAGCUGAACAGGAUGUGAAAACUCUCCCUCUCAGACUGGAGACAGCCUCCCUCCCAGGCUGAAGCUCAGGCUGUUGGCCUCUUUUACUCGGCCCUGUGUGAUUUGCGUAAAUUGUGUUAGCAGCCAGAUAUCAAGAGCAAACACUGGCCUGUCUUCUUCCUGUGUCAGUGACUUACUCCUUUAUCCCGGGGAAGCUGGCACUGCACCACAGUGGGAGCUGGUCUCUUCCCCUUGCUAAUUGGCUCACUGUGGGUAAACACAGCUGAGCAUCUUCUGUCCUUACUCAGCCUUUUUUUUUUUUUUUUCUUUAACCAUUCCAAGAUUAGGGUCCAACUGCCCGUGCUUAGUGGUUCAUUGGAGACCACGGAGAAUAGGGUGGGAGCUGCAAAUAUGGAACCUCUGUGGACUUUUAGAGCUAGACAGAAAUUAUGAUUCUAGAAUAUUAUACAACUUCAGUAUUUCUGAAAACUCCUACAGGUGAAAUGUCAAGGUUUUUCUUUGGAAUAUUCAUGGAAAUAGCUCUUAUUUGAGUGAAAACACGAACAUGUACACACCCACACACUUGCACACAAGCAUGCACACUCACACUCUUUCCUACAGAAAUGUGGAUGGCUUAUUUGGAAAUGAAGAAGGAGGUCAGGAGGGGCUGUUGCUUUCUUUAUGAUACAGGUGUGUGUGUGUGUGUGUGUGUGUGUGAUUAAGGAUAUUGUGUUUUUGCCAUUUCACACUUGUAUACAACACACUAGGAUUCCAGUCACUUCCCACUACCAUCUAUCUUCCCUCUCCCACUCUAGUCCACUCCUUUCUCUUUCUUGCACUCCCUACUUUAAUGUCUCCAUGUUUGUGAUAAUUCUGGUGGAGAUAGGGUGAUGCCAAUCACUGGAAAGUGUAGUGUAUACAAUGAAGUAUGGGACAUAAUACUGUCUCAGAGCAAUAAACAUGUGCCAGCAUACACAUUUACCAUCUUUUAUAGUUAUUUUCAUCAUAAAACAGUCAGAAGACAGCAGUGUUAUCCAUUUUGUUUAUUACAUCUGAGUUGCAUUAAGAGGCCAGAUCCAGUGAUGAAUCUAAGUUUGUCUAAAUCCACACUUUGACAUUCACACUAGGAUAAAAUAGUCUAGUGACUCAUUUUCCUGAGGCUAUUAUCAUUGUUAAGUGACAAACAGGAAAUGUAAGUAACACACAGAAAUAUUGAAUCUUCUUAAACAUUAGAUUCUUGUCUACAAAACAACAGUGACUUUACCCCCCUUGCAGUACUGCUACCUAGUGUAGUGGGGACACCUUGAGAAGUUCCACCAUCUUGCUAUAAUUAUGCUAUGUUUUGUUGUUACAAUCUUUACUAUUAUCUCCAGUCAUCCACCUAGACUUUGACACUAUAUACUUUUUACAUUUGGCAUUUUGAGUGUACCUUUGUAGCUUAGGGAAGAGCCCUAACUCUAAAGCUGUCCUCAUUUGUAUCCAUAAGUGCCACAGGUUGUAUGUCAUUAUCUGCUAUCACACAUAGUUUCUCUUGAAGAUUGUUUUGAGGUGAGUCUAAAUUUGGGGGGGGGGCAGACUUCGAGUUUCUUCCCCUCACUCUGCUGUUUCCUAUCUCCCAACUAUGCAGAGCACAGAAAAGAGUGACAGGGACUGAGAGCAUGGAAAGGAAAUUGGAAAGUGAUGCCAAAAAGCAGAUGAGUGUAGGGGAACAAUAGAUGUGUGAAACCCUUCAUGUCACCACCAAAGAGGACUCUGAGAUGUGGCCUUUCUUUGUGAAUGAAGGUGGUGCCAUGUGCUUGGGUGAGGGGAAGCCAUAGGUGCCAGGCAAAUGGAUGGAACUAGAAGAAACCAUCCUGAGAUAACCCAUACAGAAAGACAAACAUGGGAUUACUCACUCCUAAGUGGAUAUUAGACAUAGAGCGAAAGAUAACCAGUCUACAAUCCACAACCCCAGAGAAGAUACCUACAAUUUCCUGGGAGAAGUUCUGUUUCUAUAUCAAGGAAUCUGGUUUGAUAAAAUGUCUCCAGAACUCAUUUUUACUCCACCCACUUUUGAGCAUAUCUUGCAUGUUCACCCCCUCCUGCCUGGGCCAAGGUGAGCUCACAGAUGGUCCUCCACAUAAUGCCAGAACCUGCAUCAGUUCCUGAAACUCACCAUUGCAACCUGCCUUCUCUGCUUCCUUGAUGAACAGGCGCCUGAGGUCUAAGGAUGGCAGUUAACUGAAUGCUUCUUCACUCAUACCUCUCACUGAUUGUGAGCCCACCCAACUCCUGACUCUCCCCCUCCCCCACAUCAUCCCUUGUCAUCAGGAAGAAGCCAGACAUGAAGCGGUGUCCAUAUACCUAAGAGUCUGGAAUGUUCUGGUGGAAGCUCACUCUACCUCUGGCAUCCAUACAUCCAAAGAGUCUGGAAUAUUAUGGUGGAAGUUCCACCCCUCAUUUACCUCCCUCCAACCCUGCAGCAUCUCAGAAAGCCUGCCAAAUGAUGGCCCCUCCCCCAGAGAAGCUCAAGACCACUCCCACAGAGUAUUUAAACUGCCCCCCAGAAAAUAGACUCGUGGUUUCCCAGGCUCUGUUUCCGGUCUCCUCUCUGGGAGACUGGAAGGCCAUCCAGGAACAUUGUAUCCAUUAAAUGUGGGCUUUUUCUAAUUCAGUGUGAUUUGGAUUGAUAUGUCAAUGGAGAGAGGCUUAUCUAUCAGGGUGUAGCAAUUUUUCAGCCUUUG